rnacentral:rRNA from 1 species
UGGGGAAUUUUGGACAAUGGGCGAAAGCCUGAUCCAGCAAUGCCGCGUGUGUGAAGAAGGCCUUCGGGUUGUAAGCACUUUUGUCCGGAAAGAAAUCCUUGGCUCUAAUACAGUCGGGGGAUGACGGUACCGGAAGAAUAAGCACCGGCUAACUACGUGCCAGCAGCCGCGGUAAUACAUAGGGUGCAAGCGUUAAUCGGAAUUACUGGGCGUAAAGCGUGCGCAGGCGGUUUGCUAAGACCGAUGUGAAAUCCCCGGGCUCAACCUGGGAACUGCAUUGGUGACUGGCAGGCUAGAGUAUGGCAGAGGGGGGUAGAAUUCCACGUGUAGCAGUGAAAUGCGUAGAGAUGUGGAGGAAUACCGAUGGCGAAGGCAGCCCCCUGGGCCAAUACUGACGCUCAUGCACGAAAGCGUGGGGGAGCAAACAGGAUUCAGAUACCCUGGUAGUCCACGCCCUAAACGAUGUCAACUAGUUGUUGGGGAUUCAUUUCCUUAGUAACGUAGCUAACGCGUGAAGUUGACCGCCUGGGGAGUACGGUCGCAAGAUUAAAACUUAAAUGAAUUGACGGGGUCAUAGCUGUUUCCU